rnacentral:rRNA from 1 species
UGCAAGUCGAACGGCAGCACGGGGGCAACCCUGGUGGCGAGUGGCGAACGGGUGAGUAAUACAUCGGAACGUGCCCAGUCGUGGGGGAUAACGUAGCGAAAGUUACGCUAAUACCGCAUACGAUCUAUGGAUGAAAGCGGGGGACCGUAAGGCCUCGCGCGAUUGGAGCGGCCGAUGUCAGAUUAGGUAGUUGGUGGGGUAAAGGCCCACCAAGCCGACGAUCUGUAGCUGGUCUGAGAGGACGACCAGCCACACUGGGACUGAGACACGGCCCAGACUCCUACGGGAGGCAGCAGUGGGGAAUUUUGGACAAUGGGCGCAAGCCUGAUCCAGCCAUUCCGCGUGCAGGACGAAGGCCUUCGGGUUGUAAACUGCUUUUGUACGGAACGAAAAGGUCCUGGUUAAUACCCGGGGCUCAUGACGGUACCGUAAGAAUAAGCACCGGCUAACUACGUGCCAGCAGCCGCGGUAAUACGUAGGGUGCAAGCGUUAAUCGGAAUUACUGGGCGUAAAGCGUGCGCAGGCGGUUAUGUAAGACAGAUGUGAAAUCCCCGGGCUCAACCUGGGAACUGCAUUUGUGACUGCAUAGCUAGAGUACGGUAGAGGGGGAUGGAAUUCCGCGUGUAGCAGUGAAAUGCGUAGAUAUGCGGAGGAACACCGAUGGCGAAGGCAAUCCCCUGGACCUGUACUGACGCUCAUG